AACGAACGCUGGCGGCAUGCCUAACACAUGCAAGUCGAACGAGACCUUCGGGUCUAGUGGCGCACGGGUGCGUAACGCGUGGGAACCUGCCCUUAGGUUCGGAAUAACUCCCCGAAAGGGGUGCUAAUACCGGAUAAUGUCUUCGAACCAAAGAUUUAUCGCCUUUGGAUGGGCCCGCGUUGGAUUAGCUAGUUGGUAGGGUAAAAGCCUACCAAGGCGACGAUCCAUAGCUGGUCUGAGGGGAUGAUCAGCCACACUGGGACUGAGACACGGCCCAGACUCCUACGGGAGGCAGCAGUGGGGAAUAUUGGACAAUGGGCGAAAGCCUGAUCCAGCAAUGCCGCGUGAGUGAUGAAGGCCUUAGGGUUGUAAAGCUCUUUUACCCGGGAUGAUAAUGACAGUACCGGGAGAAUAAGCUCCGGCUAACUCCGUG
rnacentral:rRNA from 1 species